rnacentral:lncRNA from 1 species
UUUUUAGGAAAGGUUGCAGCAUUUUCUGCCAUGUGGUAUGUCUGUUCGCGAUGUGGGAGGCAAGGGAAUAGCCAAGCUGGCAUUUUGGAUUUGAUGGGCCUUUUACUUUCCUGAGUGACAUGCCACAUGUCAAGAAAUGCUGCUUUCUUCCAGUCUCAUCACAUUUACGUGAGCAAUUUUCAUUUAGUUAUUUCCCUCCCAUAUGGUGUUAAAACAGUCACAUCCAAUGAAGAAUAUUUCUGGUUUUCUGUCGUAACUGAAAUGAGAGGACAUGUGAUAAUUGCUUAUCAGGACCUAUCCAGGUGAGAUAGAUAGUUCUGCAGUUUUCAGUGUUCCAAAUGGUUGUGUGUCUCCUGGAAAUGUUUGACAAGUGGCAGUCCUGAGAGAAGCUCCACUAUCCUGUUUUACUCAUGAGAUGUGCUCUGGGGUGAAACCGUUGUUUCUAUGACAAUAAAUAUCAGUUAAAAUCCACAGUAAUAAUAAGCAAUUUCACUACCUGAAUUUAUCCCUGUUCUGGGUCUGUUUGUCUAGCUGGUUGAUUUAUGACAUUCCCAGAGAACAAAUCCCAGGCUAAAAGCUUUGAUUUCAGCAAAUAGAAAUAGUAAAGAGAGACAAGGAUAUUUUUUACAUAAUACUGUUUUCACAAAUACAAAUUUCAUGAACUCACAUUAACUGGAAGCAGCCAAUCUACUAAACAGAAAUACCAUACUGAAAGUCUACUUCGAGGCAGAAAGAUAUUAACUCCAUGCUGUUUCAGGGGACCACAUUUUUGAUUAGUGGGUAGCAUUUGUCAUAAAUGCGAGAUUAGAGUCAAGUAUAAUGUUUAGACAUGGCUACUCCUCCCAUAAUAGUACACACUGCCCAGAAUGAUCAAGACAAAUAUAGGAAAACAUUAUAAUGAUCUUUAAAGAACAUUGGAAUCUGCUAACGUGCAUUGUGGUAUAAAUUUCCAACUAAGGGCACAGAGUUGUAAAGAGUUGUGAAUGACAUGCAAAGGUUAUGAUUUCACAUGCAAGUUUAGAUAAAAUCAUUUAAAUUUACUUGAGGAGAAAUAUUGUAAAAAUAUAACAUCAUCUGAUAUUCUUCCUU